UUAGAAAGACAGGGCUCGAACCUGCACCAAGAGGCUCAAAACCUCCUGUACUCCCACUAUACCACUCUCU
rnacentral:tRNA from 1 species